AUUGCACGCUGGCGGCAGGCCUAACACAUGCAAAUCGAGCGGAGCGGCGGACGGGUGAGUAAUGCCUUGGAAUCUGCCUGGUAGUGGGGGAUCACGUCGGGAAACGGGCGCUAAUACCGCAUACUCUCAGAUGAGCCUAGGUCGGUUUAGCUAGUUGGUGGGGUAAAGUCCUACCAAGGCGACGAUCCGUAACUUGUCUGAGAGGAUGAUCCGUCACAGUGGAACUGAGACACGUUACAGACGCCUACUGGAGGCAGCAGUGGGGAAUGUUGGACAAUGGGCUAAAGACUGAUCCAGCCAUGCGCGGUGCGUGAAGAAGGUCAUCGGAUUUCAAAGCACUUUAGGUUGGGAGGCGUUACCAUCAGAAUAUGAACCGGCUAAUUUCGUGCCAGCAGCCGCGGUAAUAC
rnacentral:rRNA from 1 species